rnacentral:rRNA from 1 species
UUGAUGGCGACCGGCGCACGGGUGCGUAACGCGUAUGCAACCUACCUUUUACAGGGGCAUAACACUGAGAAAUUGGUACUAAUUCCCCAUAAUAUCUGAGACGGCAUCGUUUUGGGUUGAAAACUCCGGUGGUAAAAGAUGGGCAUGCGUUGUAUUAGCUAGUUGGUGAGGUAACGGCUCACCAAGGCGACGAUACAUAGGGGGACUGAGAGGUUAACCCCCCCACAUUGGUACUGAGACACGGACCAAACUCCUACGGGAGGCAGCAG